rnacentral:lncRNA from 1 species
GGCGGCGGGCUGCGCUCCUGCACCAGGAGGGGAGGUGACGCUGGCGGCGGGAGGGUCGCGAGAUCCAGCCCAGGCUGAGCGGGGCAGCGGCUGAGCGAGACCCGGCUUCGAAAUCAAACUCGGACAGGCUGAGGAUGUGGUCCAGCGCGAAGGCCCAGGGUUAAAUCCAAAGUACUAGGGAAGCACCUGGAAAGGCAGUGCGGCAGGGCACCGCGCCACUGCGGGACCCAGAGUGCGCGGUUCCUCGGGAACGUGAGCGCCCGAGUCCGCCGAACAGCGUGGAGGUGACUGACGCUGCCUGCUGCUGAGCCUUGCCGUGCUCAGUCGGUAGGGACGAGCAAGCAGGCCGCGAAGGACGGGAAAGCGGAGGGUGGAGCGUGAGGCCCGAGGUCCAGUCGCUAAAGACGUGCAGAUGCUGUGAAGACCUGCAGGGAAAGAGGGAAGAGUCAAGGAGAAAAUCCUGGCUGGGCAGGAGAGCAGCAGAAAAGAGGGAAGGACUAGAACUGGGAAGCCAGGUCACAGGUUUAAGCUAACCGAGUGAGACGUCAAACUUUUUAAAAAGGAUCGCUCCACAGCCCAGCUAUGGAAUUCCGAGACAUAAUUCCAUUUUGGCCUCCGGUCACAACUGAGACCUCAAUGAUCCGGUGAUGAUGUGAUUCUCCAGGACAGGAAACAUCCUGGGAGAACAAACAUCUACUCAGUUCCUCCUUGAUCUUGGACUGUUACACCUUGUUUACCCAGGAUGUACUGAACUCUCUGCGAGUCAUUUGUUACAUUUGUUUUUCCCGGCAUACUCAGUACCGAAUAAAAGGUGCGGUAAGCUGGGGGCUUUCGUCUUUGCUUCCCAGAGCAGCACUGAUCAGGCCCAAAGCUCAGCUUCUUCUCAGUCUCAUUUUUCUACCUUUCCUGUAAUUCGUUGUGUGGUGCCGUGGCUCGCAGGAGACUAGGACUUACUGCAGAGGUUCUGGUAACGUCCCCUUCCCCAGUUUCCUACAGGGUUUUGUUGAGGAAAUUAAGAAAAAUGAUGGGAAAUUCAAUAGUAAGGAAACCUGGAAAUUCAAAUCAGGAUGAGAUACAACCCCACACACUGUAUUAGCUAAAGAGAGUUUCCCUUUAAACUGUAAAUGCC